AAGGUCAUCCUAAACUAAAUGUCAUUUUUAGUAAUGAUACGUUUUUUGAGAUGUCGCCAUGCACCUGGAGUGAAGAUUUCUUCUAUAUCACUGAGUCUGAGUGUCAUUAUAAUUUGUCAAUUGUCAUCAGUGUCAGUAUGCCUUUAUCUUUAUGUCAUGUCAGUAAAUGUUUAUCUGAUUGUUAGCAAUAAUAAAAAAUCCUGAUUUAGAUAAAAUGGAUUCAAAUACAGUUUUUGAAACAAAACGAAUGUGAUUUGAAGAUCCCUAGGAAGAUCAAAUUCCUAGCUUAUAUUUGCAUGGUGAGUUCAACAAGUAUUUGUUAUUAGAGAACAAGUAACACAGUUAGUGGUGUAGGGAAGCAAACGAAUGUAACACCAAUUGAAAGUCCUUCAACAAGUAGAGAUGCACACAUGUUUCAAUCAUUUGAGAUACCCUUUUGUAGAAGUAUUUGGAACUCAAUUUGGAAGAUAACUAUUAAUAAUUUCAUUUGUAAAGAUACGAUUUGUAAAAAAGUAUAUACAAAGUGGCUUUGCUGGUAUUAAAUAAAU
rnacentral:lncRNA from 1 species